UGGAAGGUCUGCUUCAGAAGAAGAUGAAGAGUCCCUGUGUGACACAGUUUUAUGCUGUAUCCUCCUCUCGAUGAGGUGUGUGCGUUUGAGCCUCGAAUGGACCACCUCUACCGCAAUCUGCAUAAUACUCCUGAUGAGCCCAGCAGACCAAUGCAACGCAACCACCAGCAACAACGACCGACUCCCAACCAUAGCGGAUUCCCAGCUAACCACAUCAUCACACAACCAGUUUGCAAGCCUACUUGCUGCAGCUCAAACCCACUUCAACACCACCAAGAAUGGGCCCCUUACUCCAAUGAAGAGUUACCAAAUGGAAAAUGAGUGACCUAACAUGCUAGGCAUAAAUUUUACUAAUGUACAUAUUGAUCAUUUACUUUUACUUUUACUAAUUUCUUUGAAUUUGCAAUUUUACUAAUGUACAUAUUGAUUACUUUAUUAAUGAUUGAUUUUUACGAAUUUCUUUGAAUUUUAUUCCUAUUAUUCUGUGUUUUAACUUGUUUUACCCUCAUUUGUAAUCCUGUGACAUAAUAUAUCACCUGUAAUAAGUGUUGAUCUUAUGAUCAAAAAGGGAGGAACUGUCGUGGAAAUAUCAAUCAUAACUAUAAAUAUACAAUCACAUACAAAUUAUAUUAACCUGUUUAUAUAAUUAUUACAUUAGAAGGAACUGUAUACAUUCUCCCUGUAACUUAAAACAAAUCCCUUCCUCUCUUAAACUGAGAGAGGUUAAGUUAAUUUGUAUUCAAGUUCCCACUGGAGCCAGUAAGUCUGGUUUUGUGACCAGGCCAAUCGACUGACUUCUUUGUUGUGUAAACUCGUUUAGAGCCAAACCUGCAGACAUGUCCAAUACCCACCCAUUGUAUUACAAAUUUACUUGGCCUAAGGUCACUCCCACUCCCUUCCCACAAUGAAAAUGUUUCCUAUAAGAAUCUUGUGAAUCUAUUGUCUCGUCGAAUGUGUUCUCGGUAAACUUUGCUGCCAGUACUUUUCCCAUGAUCAUGCCUUAAGAUUAAAUCAAAUAUUUCGCUGUCCGACGUGUCCGUGAGAGAACUUUCUCUUCAUCAGAAAGCAAACAAUAAAAAUACGUAAAAUUUAAAAGAAAAUAAAU
ensembl:lncRNA